UACGUAGGGCGCAAGCGUUAUCCGGAAUUAUUGGCGUAAAGAGCUCGUAGGCGGUUUGUCGCGUCUGCCGUGAAAGUCCGGGGCUCAACUCCGGAUCUGCGGUGGGUACGGGCAGACUAGAGUGAUGUAGGGGAGACUGGAAUUCCUGGUGUAGCGGUGAAAUGCGCAGAUAUCAGGAGGAACACCGAUGGCGAAGGCAGGUCUCUGGGCCACUACUGACGCUGAGAAGCGAAAGCAUGGGGAGCGAACAGG
rnacentral:rRNA from 1 species